rnacentral:rRNA from 1 species
AAUAGCUGAGGAAAAGAAACUAACAAGGAUUCCCUUAGUAACGGCGAGUGAAGCGGGAAGAGCUCAAAUUUGAAAUCUUCAAGGUUCUACCUUGACGAAUUGUAGUUUAUAGAAGUGUUUUCUGUUAGUAGAGUGGCAAAAGUUCUUUGGAAUAGGACAUCAUAGAGGGUGAGAAUCCCGUAUUUGGUCAUUCUUUCUAGCUUUGUGAUACACUUUCAACGAGUCGGAUUGUUUGGGAAUGCAGUCCAAAAUGGGUGGUAAAUUUCAUCUAAAGCUAAAUAUUGGCGAGAGACCGAUAGCGAACAAGUACCGUGAGGGAAAGAUGAAAAGAACUUUGAAAAGAGAGUUAAACAGUACGUGAAAUUGUCAAAAGGGAAGCGUUUGACACCAGUGUUGUUUUUCCGAAAAUCAAUUACGAAUGUUUUGUUUUUAAGAAGUUAUGACUUCAUCGGCUUGCUUCUUUCUUUAUGAAACUUUCUUAAUGCACUUUUCGGUUAACAAGUCAACAUCAAUUUCUUUUGUUGUAAAAGGGUAUGAGGAAGGUGGCUUUCUUUUCGGAGAAAGUGUUUAUAGCCUUGUACCUCUGCAAUCGGAGAGAUUGAGGUCUGCAGCGUAGAUCCUUCGGGGUUAGAUACAUUUGUGCUAAGUUAUAGCUUUUCAUAGACAACUUGUUGACUAUGUUUAGUCUUGUAGCUUACUCGCUUAUGCUAUUUUACCUACGCUUAGGAUGUUGACAAAAUGGUUUUAAACGACCCGUCUUGAANCCCGGNACACA